GACGAACGCUGGCGGCGUGCCUAACACAUGCAAGUCGAACGGAGUGUUUAUUUAUAAACACUUAGUGGCGAACGGGUGAGUAACGCGUAGACAACCUACCCUCUAGAUGGGGACAACACCGCGAAAGUGGUGCUAAUACCGAAUGUUGUAAUGUUAUUGCAUAAUGAUAUUACUAAAGGUGGCCUCUAUAUAAAAGCUACCGCUAGAAGAUGGGUCUGCGUCUGAUUAGCUAGUUGGUGAGAUAACAGCUCACCAAGGAAAUGAUCAGUAGCCGGUCGUAGAGGAUGAACGGCCACACUGGGACUGAGACACGGCCCAGACUCCUACGGGAGGCAGCAGUGGGGAAUCUUCCGCAAUGGACGAAAGUCUGACGGAGCAACGCCGCGUGAGUGAAGAAGGUUUUCGGAUCGUAAAGCUCUGUCUUCAAGGACGAAUGUAGAUAUUGUGAAUAAUGAUAUUUAAUGACGGUACUUGAGGAGGAAGCCACGGCUAACUACGUGCCAGCCGCCGCCGUAA
rnacentral:rRNA from 1 species